rnacentral:rRNA from 1 species
UACAGAGGUCUCAAGCGUUGUUCGGAUUCAUUGGGCGUAAAGGGUGCGUAGGUGGCGCUGUAAGUCGGGUGUGAAAUUUCGGAGCUUAACUCCGAAACUGCAUUCGAUACUGCGGUGCUUGAGGACUGGAGAGGAGACUGGAAUUUAUGGUGUAGCAGUGAAAUGCGUAGAGAUCAUGAGGAAGACCAGUGGCGAAGGCGGGUCUCUGGACAGUUCCUGACGCUGAGGCACGAAGGCCAGGGGAGCAAACGGG